AUGGUGGGCUUCAAGACAAAAAACGGUGUCCCCUUCCAUUUGGCACCUGCCUGGGCCACCCCAGAGGCCCUGCGGCGGACCAGGCCCUGGAGCCCCCCCCACCCCGGGACUUCAAUCACGGGGUCCCUUCAGCCCCCGAAGGAUGACGCUGUUGAGCCCAAGACUCCCUUGCUGUCCCGCGGCCACUGCAACUGGUGCCCCUCGCUGGGCAGUGAUGGGCACAGCCAGGGCAGAGCCAGGGCGGCACUGAGCCUGCUGCCCCGAGGCCCCACACAGGCCCAGGACCCUCUGCCCUCCGUGUCCACGGGGCAGCUCGAUGCUCGCAGGCCUCGGGGGCAGAGCCUGGUGGUCAGUGUGGGUGCCCCGAGGCUCUGGCCCGCCAUCACCAUGCUCUGCCUCAUGUCGCUGUCCCUCCCGGAGGGCGGCACCCCCCGCACAGGACACCAGCCCCUGACCCUGAGGGACCUGGGCUGGCCUGGCCCCGGGCUCUGUGGGGUCAGGGACGAUUCGAGCUCCCCGAGGCCCAGCACUGGCCCCGGGGCCCUGGCCAGGCCUGCGUUCUGGCCCCGGGCUGAGCGAGCCCUCUCACAGCCGGAUGUGGCCUCCUGGGCCCUGGGCAUGCCCCACAGAUCCAGGUCGCUAACUAGGGCAGCCCUGGGGAAUCCCGGGACACCGCAGGGCAGGGCAGCAGGGGCAGGCCCGUGGGCCCCACUUGCACCCACACCAGGAGUCAGGCUCCUCCACCUGCUGGGGCUCCAGCAGUCAGUCACCUGGCCCCAGGGGGCCCGAGGCCGGGGCCCAGCUGCCCUGCGGGGACCCAGCGCAGGAGCCCAUGGGCUGCAGGUCCACGUCAGCCCUGCCGCCCCCAUAACCGCCUCUCACCGCCCCGACCUCAGGACACGCGCCCCCACCCGGAGUCGAGUCCGCACAGGCUCCCAGGCGGGGGACUCCAGCACCCGCACCCCUGUGGGAUUCCCGCUUUCCUCUAAGGACAGGAAGGUCUCCCAGGGGAGGGCACGCACCCUCGGCUCUGAGCCCUGUUUGCUGUUGCAAGUU
rnacentral:lncRNA from 1 species